GGCCUUGGCAUACUAAGAACUUUCCAGAGAUGGAUUGGUGCCUUCGGGAACUUAGAUACAGGUGCUGCAUGGCUGUCGUCAGCUCGUGUCGUGAGAUGUUGGGUUAAGUCCGCAACGAGCGCAACCCUUUUCCUUAUUUGCCAGCGGGUAAUGCCGGGAACUUUAAGGAUACUGCCAGUGACAAACUGGAGGAAGGCGGGGACGACGUCAAGUCAUCAUGGCCCUUACGGCCAGGGCUACACACGUGCUACAAUGGUCGGUACAAAGGGUUGCUACCUCGCGAGAGGAUGCUAAUCUCAAAAAGCCGAUCGUAGUCCGGAUCGCAGUCUGCAACUCGACUGCGUGAAGUCGGAAUCGCUAGUAAUCGCGGAUCAGAAUGCCGCGGUGAAUACGUUCCCGGGCCUUGUACACACCGCCCGUCACACCAUGGGAGUUUGUUGCACCAGAAGUAGGUAGUCUAACCGCAAGGAGGACGCUUACCACGGUGUGGCCGAUGACUGGGGUGAAGUCGUAACAAGGUAAGCGUAGAUGA
rnacentral:rRNA from 1 species